CACUGACAGUAAUGGAAGUUUUAUGCCUGAAUUUGCAUGUGCUGGGAUGAAAACACACCACAUGGAGAAGGGUAGGAAGAUGAGAAAUGGAGCUGGAAUGGAUGAAUGGAUAAACUGAAUAGCUUGAAAUUACCAGGGAUUCCUCAGCCUGAUCAUGAACAGCUUUUCUGCCUUAAAAGAGAACACGAGCCUUUCUCCAAGGCGCAGCUUCCGAAUUCCAGUCACUGAGUACGCAUGGCCAACAACAAGCCCCAUCUCUGUCUCCACCUCACUAGAACGGCCAGAGGACACCUGGAGCACCAAGAAUGACAAUUAAAAAGUAGAACUCACAUCACUGAGGGACUUGAGAGCUACAAACUCAAGGGGCAAGACAAGGAAGGCUUGUUUGCUGUUCCCUUCCCAAGUGAUUUGACUGUCCAGGAAAAUAACAGCACUGGGGCUCAUAGUGGCUCGCUGGUCUGGUGCUGUGCAGGAUACUGCUGGAAAAUUCCUACCAGGCAGAAACCCAGAGCUUAGGGGAAUCCUGCCUGCUACAGCUAUUUUUGUCUCUUCCUGGCCUCAAGAGUUAAAGAAUUCCAAAAUCUUGUAAUCUUUACAAAAUUACUCUUCUGGAUAUUGGUGACUGUGCUCAGGCUGUCCAGUGGUAUCCUCAACUGGACACUCCGUAGGGCCUAAGAAUUGAGCUCAUGAGUCCAAUGGCUGUUUCUGUGUUGGAGUCAAUUUGAUAUCCCAGAAGAACUACUGCUGGUAGAUAAAAAUAGAGGUCACAGGCAAUAAAUCUUUCUAUCCAUUUGUCAAACCUGUCCUGUACCUCUCUUACUUGGCAACGGGCAGAGCUGCAGAUUUAUUUAGGAGCUGGGUUUGCUCCUCAUGAACUUCACACAAGCAGCCUAGUUUCUAGCAGUGAUCAGGCAGUAAACUGUCCUGAUGGAUGACCUAGGCCUGACCAGAAGUUGAUCUAAGAAUACAUAAAAAUUGUCAAGUUCUGAAAAAUACGACAAUUUCAUUUAAUGCAUCCAAAUCUCCUAAUCUACCCAGAAAAGCAGUAUCAUAUAAAGAUGCUGGAGUUGCUUUGACGGACUGGCCCUUUACAAAGCCAGCACAAUGCUGCUUCUGAGCAACACAGACCGGGCAGGACAGUGGAGAAAAUAAAGCUGUGCCAGUGUUAUAACCCUUCUUCUGAGCCAGGAACAAUCCAAAUGGUCCUGCCUCUGGCUUCUUCACACCCUCACUGGAGCCAGCAUGGGCAUCCUUGCACUGGGCCAUAGCUAGAGAUUCUCUCAUCUAUACUGGACUAUAACCCAUUGGGCCUGAAGACACUCACUCCCUUGGACAGCAAGGAAGGAAGAUUUGACUCAGUGCAGAUCCUUAUGUGUAAACUUGUAAUAACCUAAUUAAUGAUCAAUCAAGCCUUUGCUGUGGCAAAGAGAGCAAGAGUUAUGACUCUUAGUGCUAUUAAUGUACAUAUUUAAAUAUAUAUUAUUUAUUGUUUAUCAUUAUACAGUAAUAAUUAUUAAAAAUAUAUAAAUAUUUCAAUAUCAACAAGGACUUAUCAGAGUUAUGCUAUGCAGACAUUUUUACCCAUUUAAAAAUUUAACUGGUCUAAACAGAGUCCUUCUCCUAAAGCAAGAGUUGCACUGAUAUAAGAAUGUUCAGUUCCUAAAGGUAAAAAAUAA